GCCUUUGUAGUGUAGUGGUCAACACGUUUGAGGCGUAUUCGAGAGGUCCGUGGUUCGAGUCCCGGCGAAGGCA
rnacentral:tRNA from 1 species